AUUGAACGCUGGCGGCAUGCCUUACACAUGCAAGUCGAACGGCAGCACGGGUGCUUGCACCUGGUGGCGAGUGGCGAACGGGUGAGUAAUACAUCGGAACGUACCUUAUCGUGGGGGAUAACGCAGCGAAAGCUGUGCUAAUACCGCAUACGCCCUGAGGGGGAAAGCGGGGAUCGAAAGACCUCGCGCGAUUAGAGCGGCCGAUGCCUGAUUAGCUUGUUGGUGGGGUAAAAGCCCACCAAGGCGACGAUCAGUAGCUGGUCUGAGAGGACGAUCAGCCACACUGGGACUGGGACACGGCCCAGACUCCUACGGGAGGCAGCAGUGGGGAAUUUUGGACAAUGGGGGCAACCCUGAUCCAGCAAUGCCGCGUGAGUGAAGAAGGUCUUCGGGUUGUAAAGCUCUUUUGUCAGGGAAGAAACACCGGCUCUAACACAGUCCGGGAAUGACGGUACCUGAAGAAUAAGCACCGGCUAACUACGUGCCAGCCGCCGCGGUAA
rnacentral:rRNA from 1 species